rnacentral:rRNA from 1 species
UACGUAGGGUGCAAGCGUUGUUCGGAAUUACUGGGCGUAAAGCGCGCGUAGGCGGUUUGUUAAGUCAGAUGUGAAAGUCCACGGCUCAACCGUGGAAGUGCAUUUGAAACUGGCAGACUAGAGUACUGGAGGGGGUGGUGGAAUUCCCGGUGUAGAGGUGAAAUUCGUAGAUAUCGGGAGGAAUACCGGUGGCGAAGGCGACCACCUGGCCAGAUACUGACGCUGAGGUGCGAAAGCGUGGGGAGCAAACAGG